ACUGGAAUCAGCAACUCCCUGGAACUCGGGCCUCUGGCCCCGUCCCUCUUUUCUCCGGCAGGGACGCAGGAUGCCUUGGUGCACUCUAGAGACGGGGACCGGAGGGUGCAGCGCGCCUGGGUGGGGCGAAGGGCGCCGGUCUCCUCACGCCCUCUGACUUUAGGAUACCAGACAGUGUCUCUUCAACCCCACCCCAGGCGCAGGUUUCCAGAAGGCGGGGUGGGUGGGGCCCCCGAUUUCCAGAAGGCGAGUUACCUAGCAGGUGUGUGGGGUGGGCAUUGCUAUUCGGAGGAAAAUGGAAGAAACGGAGAUACUUUUAGUGAAGCAGAAUAAACCACUGAACAGGAAAAAUGAGGAAGCUGUGAGUACCAGUGGAAGGAACGAGCCAGGAAGAGGGACUGGAACCAUCUCAGAAGCCAUGCCCCUCAGGCUGGAACUUGCCCUGUCUCCUCGCAGAUGAGGUAGGAGGCUCAGCACGGGCUGGUGGGAGCAGCCCACAGCAGCAGUGAGGGUCAGUGGGCCUGUGAGUUAAGAAGAAGGUGGCACAGAGCGAGGGUCUCUGGAUCCUGACUGUUUGACUUUUCCAUGAUUAGGAUAAGUAGCCAGGGCUUGGCUAGUUGGAGAGUUACUCGAACCUCAGGUGACAGUUGUAAGGCAGCACAUAGUGAAAAAGAGUCCUAGCCUGGGAAAGUCCAAAACCUUAGGUCUGGUUUCAGUUCACUCACCUAUCUCUGUGACAUAGCAAAGUCUGUUAAUUUCUCUAAUUUUCUGAUUAGUAGUAUAGUUGCAGGAAUGAAAUAAAAAUGGUCCUGAUUACUCAGAGAUUCAUUUACUGAUUACUCUUUUUGUGACCUGAAUAAAGAGUACAACAUCUCUCAAAAGGUAACAAUAUGAUGUUUCAGGAAAUUAGAGAAGUUAAGAGACUUUGCUGUAUUUACUAUACAGAUAGUUGACUGACAGCUGAGCCCGGACCCAAGAUUCAUUUAUAAAAUGAAGGAGUUGAGAAGUACAUACUCUGAGGUUUAUCCUAAAUAAACUGAAGUCUAGGCAAGUGGCUGAGCUAGGUUUGCCAUGAAUCAAUCUGCUGAGUAUAUUUCUUGGUAACUAGUUCAUCUUUCCUUAAUUCAGUCAACAAAUAUGAUAUCAAGUUUAGUAAGAUGAUGACAGUUGUCAUGUAAUACUCCAUCUGGAAGAUUGUAUGCUUCUCAGCUUCCCUAACUUUUCUUAAUCUACCUUAAGCUUCCUUUCUGAAAGGUUUCUGUCUUUCCUAACAGUCUCUUCUUUCCGCCAGCUACCUCUUGUGUUUAAGAAUUAAAGGAAGAUGAGCUAGGAAUCAAGAAAUACGCAGAACUGAUUCCUGUCACUGGCGCCACCCUGCCACUUGCCCAGAGCUGUGGUAUAAAUUUUUUUAAUAGGCUGAAAUAAAAAUAUGAAUAGCAUUUUGGUAUUAAGCAUUAAAUUGAUAAAGGCUAUGAGAUACACCUGCUCUCAACCAUGUUAAUUUUUUAUUAUUGGUAUUAAUAAAUUAUUACUUACUAACAUAUUAACAAGAAUUGCAUUGAGAAACAAAGCAUCCACAGGCCAAAUCUUCUGAAUUUCAAAUGUUUAUAUUAAUGCGUUGUAUUCUAGAAAAGUAGAAUUGUCUUAAGUAGCUUUGUAAUAUAAAGUCAUCUAUCAGCCCAUUACACCUAUUAGAAUGUUUUAACCUUUAUUUCCCACUUUUUUGUUUCUAGACUGAGUGUACUUGGUCUGGUAUUUGUGGCAUAACUUACGGAACACAUAAGAAUGAUACAGAUACUAUUUAAUGAUGACCUAAUACAAGCUUAGAUAGCUAAGGUGAAAGCUUCUAUGGCCUUAACAUUUUCCUCUUGAAGAAUGUAUUUUCUGUAAUAAAAUACAGUGGCUACUUGAAAUCUAUAAACUUAUGUGAGGUCUGGAUAAAUCUGAGCAACUUUCUUCUUUGUGCUCCAGGAACCUACGCACUAUAUAUAUAAAUAAAGCUUAAGUAAACAUCACUGCAA
rnacentral:lncRNA from 1 species